rnacentral:rRNA from 1 species
GAUGAACGCUAGCGAUAGGCCUAACACAUGCAAGUCGAGGGGCAGCACAUGACGUAGCAAUACAGAUGGUGGCGACCGGCGCACGGGUGAGUAACACGUAUGCAACCUACCUUCAACAGGAGAAUAACCCGUCGAAAGACGGACUAAUACUCCAUAACACAGGGAUCCCGCAUGGGAAUAUUUGUUAAAGAUUUAUCGGUUGAAGAUGGGCUCGCGGCCUAUCAGCUUGUUGGUGAGGUAAUGGCUCACCAAGGCGUCGACGGGUAGCCGGCCUGAGAGGGUGACCGGCCACACUGGGACUGAGACACGGCCCAG